AUAGAGAAAUUUAUUUUAAAGAAUUUUUAUUCCUUUUUAAUCACAUGAAAUUCUUAUGAUAAAGGUGUACAUUACUUACUUAUAUUGACUCUAGUUAUACAAAUUUUACUUUGACAACAUAUAAAAUAUUCUAGGAGAGUACAUAUGUCCAAUCACAAAUAUGAAGCUAAAUACAAAAUCAUUCAAAAACUUAAUCUACCAUAAUUUUAACACGCUUACAUCGUUUAUUAAUACAAACUGCUUUAUAUCCUUUCCGACAAAAAAGAAAUGAACAAUCUGAAUCUCUUAUACAUCCCAUAUUUCCAGCUGGAGCUAUAAAAAAAGAGAGAAAAAUAACUUAAAAAAUAAAUAAAAUAAAAUAUUAUGUAUGAAUUAAAGAAUGAAGUUUAUUAGAGAUAAAAAAUAGUUUACCUUCAAUGUUUGGUGCAACGAGAAAUAUGAAAAUAAAUAUAAUCUUAACAUUAAUAAAUUUGGAAACUAAAGCCAUUUAUUCCUUUGCGCAUGUAACAAAAUCUUCUAUCAUUUUAUAAUUUAUAAAGUCUGUGAUUUCCUUACGUCAAAUUAAGUGUAAAAUGUUU
rnacentral:lncRNA from 1 species